GUCUUUCUUUAAGAGGAAAGCAGGGAAAAGAGCAGACUCUGUUUAAAGGAAGAGUGGUUUAAAAAGAAAAGGAUAGAACACAGACCCCUGUAAAACUCAUUGCCUUCCAUAGGCUACUGUGGCUAAACCAAUCGCAGGACAGACUCACUGUGUUUAACAGUGUCUGUCUGUACACCGGAAGGGCCUUCAUGCCUACAUCAACCAUGCAGUGAGGGUGAGCUGGCAGUGUGCCCCCUCUCUCCAUGCUGGCUUUGGGCCUAGAGCAGGGGAGAGGAGAGGGGAGAGGUGGAUCCCCCUCAAAAACACUCCUGUUUCAGUAAGACUUCAACUGCAAUCCCUUUGCAAUCUCUUACAACAGACACUACAAACAUUUUCCAAUUAGAUAGGAUGAUCCCCAACAAUGAGGAACUGAAUGUGGGUGGUGUGUUGGAAGUUAAGUUGACCAAACACCUACCUCUGUCAGUGGAUGACCAUGGAGAGAGCUUGCCCCCAGGGAAUUUCUAUACCUCAAGGGGCUUCUGGCGGAGGCUGGAGGGAGACAAGUUGUUCUGGGAAAUACCUCAGCAGAGCCUCAGAGUCAUCUAUCUCCCUCACCUUUGACCAUGUCCAGCUGAACACCUGACCAGAGACAACACAUAUGAGGAUGUCAAGCCGUCUCCUACUAUGUGUCUCCCCAUUGUGCGUCCCCGACCCUGGACCAUGGCACAGAGACAAAAACCCUCUCACCCCAAAGCUUCCUCCCAAGCCUCUCACGUUGUGGGUGGAGAGGAAGGACUCACUGGCAGCGACACAAUCCUCACCUACAGAAGCCCCCCCUAGACCUGCCUUACCCAAGCGACCCACAACCAUCCAUAAAACACACAGACUGCCUCAGGUAAACACACACAAGCAUUUCAUAAGCGUUUUCUACAAAGUGGAAAUUGUGUUUCCUCAAACUACUACGGCGGUUGUAUGUAAUUUUGACUCUGAGUGGGAAAAGCAUGCUAUUAGGUGGAUUUGUCUGUUUUGCAUGACUACACAUAAAGAAGCCAAGCUAGUGUUGUAGGCCUACACUCCAUUGUCAAUUAGGAGAUGUCUGAGCUUCCUGUUUGCUUGGCUCUGGAUCCAGGUCACUCAUUCUACUACUCAAGUUGAAACUUGACUGAUGGCCCUAUCCAAUCCAAACCAAACCAGUGCCCAAUAGAAAACAACAUUUUUCAGUGCAACAAGGAAGUGUGCUUAAAUCACAUUUAUUUGAUUGGAAACAAUUUUAUUACUAGUUUAAGUGGCCAGACAUGAUUUUUAUUUGUAUCAGAUCAAUAUAUCUGUGUGUGUGUGGUUUCCGUGAUGCAGUAUGUCAACAAGAUUCAUGUGAUCUUCGAUACCAAACGAGGGAAGAAGAGAGUGAAGAGCCAGGGAGGUUCAGCGCGUGCUAUGACAAUUAUUACCCUUCAACUUGUCUAGAAGAUGUAGAUAAACUACUCACUGUAAAGACCCGUAGUUUUGAGAUACAUUACAUCACUGUUACAAAUACAGUACAAAGACACUGUCAGUCUCCAAUGAUGUCUCUUUCUUUCAUCCCUUUAUUACACUCCUGUCUCGCUUUUUCUCUGUCUAUGUAUCUCGCAUGCGCACACUCACUCUCUCUCGCUCUCUGAACAGAGGAGACCAGUGGAACUGAAAGUGACCCAGAGGACAACACUAAAGGUACUACUAUAGCAUUGACCUGCUACUUGUCAAAUUGUCAUUCAUAUUUAAAGUGAAAUUUCACUCCCAAAUAAAUGUUUGGCUGACAUUUUGAGAAUGUUGAGUUCAGACAAUGUCCCACGCCGUCUACACUCAUAUAGAUCCAUCCAUUUUCCAUUCACAUUUGAUCACAUUCUAUUACCAUUUAAUCUUUUUUUUUUUUUUUUCAAAGAGAGUUCCCAACCAGAUUCACUUAUUAGGUAUUUUGAAAAAUGUUCACUGUCUCCACCAGGAGGGUCCAGGCGCUCGGUCUAUGUCCAGUCCACGCUGAAGCGGAGGCCAGUCUACCGCUCCCUGGAGAGGGACCUGAUCCAGCUCCAGCAACAGCAGCUCUUUCAGUUCUUUAAACUCCUACACCCCUGAGAUCACGCAACAGUUUCCCAACAAGGUUAUUGUGAAUUGAAACCAAUUAAAGCCAACCUCUUUCAGAUGGGGCAACAGAGCUAGGCGGAUAGACCCACUUACACAUUUUUGUAUAGGGGAAAUACUGCUUGAUGUACCAUGGAUGUGCUCAGCUCAAAGGAAACCCCAGAAUGUUUAGUUUUUUUAGUUAUCAUUGUACUAUUGUUUCUGUUUUGCUGGCCGGGGAGUAAAAUUAGACGCUCUGUAUCUUUAUCCUUUCUUAACCGCUAUAGUUUGAGAAGUCUUCCCGUCACUCCCGUGAAGCCGACGACCGGCUGAAGGCCAUUCCCAUGUUCUGCUUCCCAGACUCUCAGGACUGGCGGCCUUCUGGACACCUGCACAGGUAAGCUUCUGUCACAUUCACAUUAUGGUCACAGUAUGUAGCAGUGGUGUUACAAUAAGGGAAUUCAUGUAAUAUAAAUAUGCAUACAACCACUUAAUAUGAGCAUUGGAACAGGUAAAACAUUUCAAAAGUAGCUACGUUUUUGUAAUAAUUACUGUGCUAAAAUGAAGUUAUUAUAUGAUGAUGUAAGAAUUAAGUCCAAGACAUGUCCAAUGAAAUGGAGAUUAUCUAGUGAUUCAGACAAAGAGUAACAUGAUUGCAGUUCAUAUGCCAUGCUUUGUCUUUUCCCCCAAGGGAGACUGCACGAGAACACUGCUUAACUCUAUCACUUUGUGCAUCCCUGUCCUAUUGUCUAUGCUUUUAUCCGUCUUUGUAGUGAAACCUUCUCUUUUGUCUUGACGGGAGAGGAUGUCAGCCGGUGCUUUUGUUACUGUCGUAAUAUCCUGGUGAGUGUGUGUGAAUGAGUCAUUACGUUGUGUGUGAGGACUAGGCAGUAAAGUGCGUACGCAACAUCUCUAAGGGAUAUACUACAGUCAUAGGCCGUAAAACCUCUGAAUCAGUGACCCAAACUAAACAUAAUUUCAUAAUUGUUUUUCAUAACAUAAUUUGUCCACGUGUUAAAUCCAUGACUGUACAUUUAAUGUUAGAUUUGUGUGUUUUAAAUGUAUUGCGCUGUUGUUUAUUUUUACUAUUUUAUGGUCUGGACUGAGUGUUUGUUUACCCCUGGAAUGCCAGCGUUGAUACAGCGUUGCAAUAACAUUGUUGAUACUGAUUGGCAGGGUUGGUUUUCAUGCUGAUUUGUGUUUAUUUGUGCCUUUUAGCCAAGAGUCUGUGAGAGCCAGAAAUCUUGCUUGUUUGUAGGUGACCAAAUACUUAUUUUCCACCAUAAUUUGCAAAUAAAUUCAUUAAAAAUCCUACAAUGUGAUUUUCUGUUUUUUUUUUCUCAUUUUGUUUGUCAUAGUUGAAGUGUACCUAUGAUGAAAAUUACAGGCCUCUCUCAUCUUUUUAAGUGGGAGAACUUUUGGUGGCUGACUAAAUACUGUUUUGCCCCACUGUAUCUUAUAUUCAGCAAAAAAAGAAACGUCCUCACUGUCAACUGCGUUUAUUUUGAGCAAACUUAACAUGUGUAAAUAUUUCUAUGAAACUAAAAAGAUUCAACAACUGAGACAUAAACUGAACAAGUUCCACAGACAUGUGACUAACAGAAAUGUAAUAAUGUGUCCCUGAACGAAGGGGGGGGGGGGGUCAAAAUCAAAAGUAACUGUCAGUAUCUGGUGUGGAACAAGCUGCAUUAAGUACUGCAGUGCAUCUCCUUC
rnacentral:lncRNA from 1 species